UUAUUCAAAGUUUUGCCACUGUUUGUCUGUUGGUAGUUUAGUUCGGGUUAGGCGUAGGAAUGGAUCGUGGUGGCCGUGGCGUAUAAUGGGAUUUCCUGAAUUUCUUGAUGGUUGCGUCCUUUCUCUGAAGGAUCAAACUCCGGUGAAGUUCUUGGGACGAUAUAAUGCAAACAUGGGGCUCAACAAGACGUGCUAGUUGAUAUGGUUGCAUAAAGUCAUUUUUACAAGCAGAGAUUGGUACACCUUAUCAACACAACUACGUAAGACUCUUGCUUAAGUUUCUUUUUUCGCAUAGAGGAAUAC